CCCCGCGCACCGGCCGGGCGGGCACCUGGCGGGCUCUGCGGCAAGCAGGGGGGAGGAGCCCCGGGCGUCGCUGUGCCGCGCUCGGCGUCCCGGAGCCGCUGCCGAACUUUUUCCUGAGGAGUCCCACAUUUAGGGGAAGGAGCACGAAGAGGGGAGGGGAGAGCAGAGUUCCUGGAAGCAGCAGCAGCAGCAGCAGCGGCCCCACAACAUGGCCUCCUCCGCCUCCUCUGCAGCUGGCGCCGAAAGCCCCCCUCCUCCUUCGCAGGGUGACUACGGAUCCUACUAUUCACGAAGUUCUAGAAAGGUAAGUGAACGUGGCAUUGGGCAUAAUUCAUAAUGCUUCCUGUCUGGCUCUUACCUGUGUUGACAUUUUAUGGACUAAAACUCAACAAGCAGUUAGAAAAACACUGAUAUGAAGGUACUGUGGAUACUGUUGGAGUGUGUGUUGUAAGAGAGAUGGUAAGUGUUGUCCAUUUUAUCCACACCUUGUGAGACCAGGCUGGGCGGCCCGACUCCUGCUUUCUCCCGUGAAAGUGGCUCUAUUGGUUGAAUAAGCAUUUCUGGCAUGGCUAAAAGAAGGAAAAAUGAGAUUCACUUUGCAGUUCUGUCAGGUGUGUUUUCAGAGGACAGAUUUUACCAAAGCCUGAAAUCAUUUGGUAUUGUUGGUAUUUUAAGUCACCUGGCAUCAUGGCAUUUUAUGUUUCCCAUCGGGCCAGUUUGGAGUGAAAUUCAGAAUGUUGUGGCACUGUGGUGACGAUCAUGAAAUGGUCUUGUUGCUCAGAGAAAAGCAGAACUUUAGGCUGAGAGAGGAGAGUCUAAAGUUCCACCCUAGGUAAAACAUUCUAAAUUAAUAGUUGCCUGAGGACUGGAGUGUUAUUAGACUUGGUUUGAAUUCACAGUUCUAACUCAAAGGAGUGUAAUUGGAGUUUCCUUUUUAAAUAUUUGAAGACAGUAUUUACUAUGUGGAUGUUCAAAUAUUAGAUGUAUAUUUAGAAGGAAAUCUAAAAGCAUUUUAAGCUAAAUAGGACUGUGAAUUGCUAUUCAAUUCACUAUUGAAGAGAUACAUCAUUAAAUACUCAAGUAUUCAGUAGCUUUUUAAUAUUAUAGGAUUGUUGUAGCUAAAUCCUUUAAAUAUCUCCAUUGUUGUUAAUUCUAUAGAAGUGAAAGGUCUAGUGACAGCUUUACUUUUUUUUUGAUCCAGUUUACUAGCUGUUUUUUAUGUUGAAAAUGAUUAUUUUUUCACUAUGAAUGAUUAAAAAUUAGGCCAGAGAAGUUAUAUUUAAAUAUAAAUUGUCUUUCUUUCAUUUCCGUUGGUUGUCUGUGCUUGUUGUUUUCAUUUAUUAUUAAAAACAUUGUAUAGAAGUAUUUUCAAGUUGACAUAGCAAAUACCUGAUUCAUCUGUUUCAUCUGGGGUAAGUGAAUAGAAAUACUGCCAUAAUCUUUAGGCAUUUUACUCGAGAGACUCAAUGUUAAGAAUAUUCCAGAUUUUGAGAUGUUUUAAUUGCAUUUUUCCUAAGAAGUUAGGUUUAGAUUCUGUGUAUUUGAGGAUGAUUAUCUUAACCCUUAUUACACUGCUGUGACAUGUUAAUCUUUGGGGAGGAUUAUUGUCAUACCGAACAAAUUCCCUCUCAAAGCACCAAGUUUCAUACAUCUGACACUUUCAGCCAGUUUCUGAUGCUGGAUGGAUGUGUGAAUCAAUCUCAUUUAUUGCGGUGGUUGUUUCUCAAUGAAAUGUUAUCUUUCACAUUGCAAGUAGAGGAACUAUGAUUUAUAAAUACAAUGUUACCUUGGUAAUUUUUUGUAAUGUAACUACUUUUACUGCCAAUGGGAAAUGUCCCUUAAAAAAAAGGUAUAAUCAAAGAACUUUUCAAAAUGAGGCCUUCAGAGAAUUGGGCAUGAACCUCAGACCUAUGUGUGAAACCUUGGGAUUACCUUUUUCUGGACUCUUAAAUCUUAUAUGUUGUAAGUUUUAUUACUAUAGUUUACUCAUUAGAAAUAAAAAUCUCAAUCAACAUUAUGCAUCAUAUUAUCACCAUAUUAUCAGUUGCUAGUAUUUUGGAUUUUUCUGGUGCAUUUCCUAGUCACAAAAGUUUUCAAUUCUGAUUAGAAGCAGAAUCAUGUCUGCUUCACUGAACUGCUGAAAUCAGAGCCUUUGAUCUUGAGGGAAAUCAAGGGUUCCUUAAAAACCUCCAAGAUGAUUGAUAAUAACUUAUAAUACUCAGUAAAUUGUGUUUGUGUGGAGUAUAUGCUUCACACCAUAUUAUCUUGUUAAGUCCUAGAAGAGGCCCAGCGAUGUCUUUCUCUUUAAUUAGAAGUUCAGAAAUAGCCCAAGCUGUUCAUAUCAGGUGAGCUUUCUAGAGCUACUUUGGCAUUUCCUGGAGUGAUUUUGUCUGUACUGUGAUUUUUGCCCAGCUCUUUAAAUAGUGCUGGUGGUCACCAAACUGCUUUCCAUGUAGGAGCUGUCAUUUUGGUGGCUUUUAUAACAGGACCAUGCCUUCCUUUAUGAAAAUGUUACUGUAUGGGAAAAAAAUAAUCGUAUUUGCAUAUUUUCCUAUGAUAGUGAGCAUGCUCAUCAGCUUCAUUGUUUACAUCUGAAAACAAAUAAUCACCCAGUUCCUUUUCUGCUCUGCUGUGCUCUUCUGAGGAAAUAGAUUUGGGGGCUUGCUAUGAAUAGAAUAGUUACUUGUCAGAUGGGGAAACUUGUUCAGGUGGCUGUAGAAGUAGGUUGUUUUUGAGCAUUGGCUGGAUAAAUGUGAACUUACCUCACAUGGUGAUACUCAUAUUUUCAUUGUGUGAAUGAUAAGGUUGGUUGCUCUGUAAGGGAUUUAAUAUAUUCUUAUUGUCAUCAGAAAAUAGAGUUGAAUUUUAUAAAAUAAGAAGAAAAAUUACUUUCUAAGACAUCUAACUCCAGAGUUUCCUGAUAUUGCUGCUGAAAACUUGGGGAUCCAAAUACAAUGGGAGGUCGUUGAUCAGCUGGAGAGGGGAGAAUGAUUAGAGAACUCAUUUUCUCUCCACUCCAGCUGCUCCUUGGACCCUGCCUUUGACCAACUUUGCACCAUAAGCACCUGUUCAUAUUGUGUAUCAAAGAGCUACCAGUGUAGUUGCAAAUGCUGGUAGAUACAAGGCUUAACUCGUGAUUUUGUCAAGGAUGAACUUUUAGUUGUAUUUUCCUUGUAAUUUGCCAAGAAGAAUAGCUAAUGCUUAUUUUGAACAAUGAUUAGCCCUCAGGAGUUGACUAUUAAAGACACCUAAUGAAAAAUAUAUCUUGGUGGACAAAACAAAAAGAUUAACAUUGAACAAACUUUUAGUCAAAUGAUAGAAAUGACUUUUUGUCAGAUGAUAGAAGUGACUUUUUUAGUCUGUAAGUUAAAAUAUCAGCUCUUUCAAAAACAAUUUUAUACCUCAGCCUUUUAAGUUAUAAUUUUCAAAGAUGAUGCAUUUUAUAAUUCAUGUUAAUUCAAAACACUAGAGUAUUUUGUACAUUUAUAAUUCUAGGCUUUUUCUCUUUUAUUUUAAAUUUUUAAUAAAUAUAUUGGGUUGAUAUUGCUUAAUAACAUACAGCUUUCAAGUGUGCAGCACUAUAGUAUAUCAUCUGUAUAUUGCAUUGUGUGUUGACCAAAGUUAAAUUUCCUUCUGUCACAAUAUAUGACCCUCUUUAAUACCCUUUAGCCUUUACUACCUCCCCUCACCCUGUUUUUUUCUGGUAACCAUCAUACUGUUGACUGUGCCUGUGAGUUUUUGUUCGUCUUUGUUCAUUUGUUGCUUUCAGGUUUAUAUCCCACAUAUGAGUUAAAUCAUAUGAGUCUUGACUUUUUCAUCUAACUUAUUUUGCUUAGCAUGGUAUUCUCAAGAUCUAUCCAUGUUGUUGCAAA